UACGUAGGGUGCGAGCGUUAUCCGGAAUUAUUGGGCGUAAAGAGCUCGUAGGCGGCUUGUCGCGUCUGCCGUGAAAGUCCGGGGCUCAACUCCGGAUCUGCGGUGGGUACGGGCAGACUAGAGUGAUGUAGGGGAGACUGGAAUUCCUGGUGUAGCGGUGAAAUGCGCAGAUAUCAGGAGGAACACCGAUGGCGAAGGCAGGUCUCUGGGCAUUAACUGACGCUGAGGAGCGAAAGCAUGGGGAGCGAACAGG
rnacentral:rRNA from 1 species